GAGUUCAAUAGUACGUGAAACUGCUUAGAGGUUAAGCCCGAUGAACCUGAAUAUCCAUUAUGGAAAAUUCAACAUUAAUAUUAUAAUAUAUUAUGUGUAUUUUCAAUAUAUAUUUAUAUUAUAAAUAUGGUGUGCAAUUUUUCCAUAUAAGGACAUUGUAAUCUGUUAAUGUUUUUAUUUAUGAAAAGAUCCUAAAUUUUUAGUUUAAUCAAAUUAGUUAUUUUCGGAUUUCUAACAUAGAUUAAAUUAAAUUGGAUUUGAUAAAUCAUUGACAGAUUUAUUUGUAUAUAGUGCUUAAAUUCUUAAUUGAAUUUUACAAUGAUUUUUUAAUCUAUGAUUUUAAAAUUUAUUGUAUGCGCUUAUAUGAUUAACAAUGCUUAAGAUUCAGGAUACCUUCGGGACCCGUCUUGAAACACGGACCAAGGAGUCUAACAUAUGUGCAAGUCAUUGGGUAUUUUUAAUAAAACCCAAAGGCGUAAUUAACUUAACUGUUUUUUUAUAAAUGGGAUUAGUUUAUAUUUUAUUAUGAAAUAUAAAUUCAAUCCCGGGGCGUUCUAUAUAGUUAUGUAUAAUGAUAUUUAUAUUAUUUAUGCCUCUAACU
rnacentral:rRNA from 1 species